AGUCAUUCUCUACCCACUCCAGUGACUCUACUCUUCUGCAUGCUGCUCAUUUUCUGCUUUGCACCUACUCAGUACCUGGUCUGCACCUACUCAACACCCACUCUGCACCCUACUCAGUACCUGGUCUACACCUUACUCAAUACCUUAUCUGCACCCAACUCUGCACCAUACUCAAUAUUCACUCUGCCCCCUACUCAAUACCUGCUCUGCACCCUACUCAAUACCCACUCUGCACCCUACUCAGUACAUCCUGUGUACUACACAUUUUCUUCUCUGCAAUUACCUUGCCACAGCUCUGCAUCCUAUAUCCUACGCAUCUCAUCUGAAUUCUACUUUACUGCUCUUUUACUGUCCUGUACAGUCAGCUUGUACAUUACUCAUUAAGGUACUUCCACUUUACUCUACUCAUCGACUGUUCAGCAUCCUACUAAUUCAUUGCUCCCAUUCAUUACAACUUUUGCAGUCACUCGCCUAAAGUCUUUUGCUAAGUCUUGGGCAAUACUUUGAUAAUGUCUCUAGUGUUCUGUAUUCUACCACAUUGACCCUCAUCUGCUGAUCUGCAUCCCACUCACUUACCAUUCCACACCACCUGCCCCAAAUUCUGUUUUCUUCUGCACCAUAUUGUUUAAAAUGCCCUACACCAUACUUGUCUACUUCUAUACACACACACUGCAUUUCUGCUUUGGACUCUAGCUCCCUGUUUUCUGUACUCAACUCUUCAUUAGGGUGAAGAGUACUUCACCAUAAUAACCCAAUGUUCUCUAUUUUUAUUUUACAAUAUCCUCCUUGACCAAAGCUUUGCUCAUUCUAUGCUACUUGGCAGGCCCGGACUGGCAAUCUGUCUAUUCGGGCAAUUGCCCGAGGGGCCGCUUUAUAUUUGUUAAAGUGGGCCGCUCGCAAAAUAAUUAAGAAGGAGCGACUGCUCCUUUAAGUGCGCACAGCAGGGCGGAACCGGAACAGAAGCAGUGGCAGCGCAGGCCAGCUCCGCAGUGCUCCGGCACGGCAGGCUCUUGAGCUACCCGUCCGCAUAUUCAUUGCCUUCGGCAGUCAGCGGUCGAGAGAAGCAGCAGCCGCAGCACGGAACUGUACCCACAGCACAGGCAGAUGAGGUCCAGGUGCAAGCAAUUGGUUCCAUGUUUUAUUCUGUACAAUGUUGGUAAAACGGAGGCCAUCGGUCGUGCCAACCUUCUAAGCAGCCGCGGCUGUCUGUACCCCUUGUCUGAUAAACAGGACCACUGUAUACACAAUGUGUAUAUGUAUACUGUACCCUACCAGAGACCGAACUCGUUUUCAGGAUUGCCACGAGUACAUUCAAAGCAGGCCAAAACCUGGAACUGCAGCUAUGUCAUGGCCUCCUCAGGGUGGCUCAGAGUAAAAGCCAAGGGAAUAUCUACUCAAACUUGAAGCCAUAGUAACAAAUUAAAGGACAGUCCAUCUUGCGGUGCUGCCUAACUAGUGUUGAUUAUUUUCUGUUCUGACUCCUUACUUAAAAAUUGCAGCAAAAUAUUUUUUAAACAUUCUUAACGGA